rnacentral:tRNA from 1 species
CCGACCGGCGGGUAGGGAAGACCCUGCUCGUCACCGCCGAUCCGGCCGGGAUCGUGCGCGGUCCCGGCCCGGCGUUCGGAACGCUGUGGCCGCA